ensembl:ncRNA asRNA:CR43735 antisense RNA:CR43735
UUUGAAUUUAAAAUUUCAAAUGCUAUUUCUGAUAUAGUAUACAAUUUGAACAAGGAGCACAAAGAACAGAGCUUACAGUGCCUUCCGCGGGUAAAAGACCUGGGAUAUUUUUUCCAAAUCAUCGAAGGUUUCCACAAAGUGGAUGGGUUGUGGCACAUACGGACACCUAACAGUGAUCAGAAACCACACCCUGCUCUCCCUGUAGAGCACAUCCUUUAUGAUCUCAACCAGAACCGGGGACUGAUCGCUCUUGUAGACGCAAAAGUUGAAAAACAACGCAUUCAGCCAGCUAAUGGACAUGGAUAGGCUAAAGGAUAUAUCGGAAAUAGAUGAUAUAUUCAACGUUUUAAGUCCUUGUAUCAGUACCAGUAUCUGGUGGACAACCAUUCCAACCAGCAAUCCGUGGGCAAAGCGGCAAUGGAGGGAUAGUUACGGAACUCGGCAUAGGCCACCAAUGCGGAGGAUUCAGUGCAAAAAGCCAAUAUCCUGUAGGUCUGAUAGGAAUUGAACAGGGAGUCCUUGCCACGAAAUUUCGGACGGAUAUUGCCGAACCACUUGACACCUGGCGAUCGAAUCAGCUUGUUGAGCCCAUCCUGGUCUCCCGCUUGAGCCAAGCGAAUCUGAAACUGAUUCAUCAGUGCGAAUAAUUUAUGUGUGUGGUGUGUGAUUAAAACUAAAAAAC